rnacentral:rRNA from 1 species
AUUGAACGCUGGCGGCAGGCCUAACACAUGCAAGUCGAGCGAGCGGCGGACGGGUGAGUAAUGUCUGGGAAACUGCCUGUUGGCGGGGGAUAACUACUGGAAACGGUAGCUAAUACCGCAUACCAUCAGAUUUGCCCAGAUGGGAUUAGCUAGUCGGUGGGGUAAUGGCCCACCUAGGCAACGAUCCCUAGCUGGUCUGCGCGGAUGACCAGCCACACUGGAACUGAGACACGGUCCAGAAUCCUACGGGAGGCAGCAGGGGGGAAUAUUGCACAAUGGGCGAAAGCCUGAUGCAGCCAUGCCGCGUGGAUGAAGAAGGCUUUCGGGUUGGAAAGUCCUUUCAGCGAGGAGGCGUUACUCGCAGAAGAAGCACCGGCUAACUCCGUGCCAGCAGCCGCGGUAAUAC